rnacentral:rRNA from 1 species
GACGAACGCUGGCGGCGUGCUUAACACAUGCAAGUCGAACGGAAAGGCCUCUUUCGGGGGGUACUCGAGUGGCGAACGGGUGAGUAACACGUGAGUAACCUGCCCUUGACUUUGGGAUAACUUCAGGAAACUGUGGCUAAUACCGGAUAGGAGCUCCUGCUGCCUGGUGGGGGUUGGAAAGUUUCGGCGGUUGGGGAUGGACUCGCGGCUUAUCAGCUUGUUGGUGGGGUAGUGGCUUACCAAGGCUUUGACGGGUAGCCGGCCUGAGAGGGUGACCGGCCACAUUGGGACGGAGAGAAGGCCCAGACUCCUACGGGAGGCAGCAGUGGGGAAGAUUGCACAAUGGGUGGAAGACUGAUGCAGCAACGCCAGGUGCGGGAUGACGGCCUUCGGGUUGUAAACCGCUUUCGCUCAUGACGAAGCUUUGUGUGACGGUAGUGGGUAAAGAAGCACCGGCUAACUACGUG